AUUAAACGCUGGCGGCAUGCCUUACACAUGCAAGUCGAACGGUAGCGCGGGGCAACCUGGCGACGAGUGGCGAACGGGUGAGUAAAGCAUCGGAACGUGCCCUGGAAUGGGGAGUAACGUAGCGAAAGUUACGCUAAUACCGCAUAUUCUGUGAGCAGGAAAGCAGGGAAUCGCAAGACCUUGCGUUCUGGGAGCGGCCGAUGUCGGAUUAGCUAGUUGGUGGGGUAAAAGCCUACCAAGGCGACGAUCCGUAGCGGGUCUGAGAGGAUGAUCCGCCACACUGGGACUGAGACACGGCCCAGACUCCUACGGGAGGCAGCAGUGGGGAAUUUUGGACAAUGGGCGGAAACCUGAUCCAGCCAUGCCGCGUGAGUGAAGAAGGCCUCGG
rnacentral:rRNA from 1 species